rnacentral:tRNA from 1 species
ACCUGGGUGGCUCAGUUGGUUGAGCGUCCAACUUCAGCUUAGGUCAUGAUCUCAUGGUUUGUGAGUUCAAGUCCCACAUCAGGCU